GACGAACGCUGGCGGCGUGCCUAACACAUGCAAGUCGAACGAAACCUUCGGGGCUAGUGGCGCACGGCUACGUAACGCGUGGGAACCUGCCCUUAGGUUCGGAAUAACGCCCCUAAAGGGGUGCUAGUACCGGAUAAUGUCUUCGGACCAAAGAUGUAUCGCCGUUGGAUGGGCCGGCGUUGGAUUAGCUAGUUGGUAGGGUAAAAGCCUACCAAGGCGACGAUCCAUAGCUGGUCUGAGAGGAUGAUCAGCCACACUGGGACUGAGACACGGCCCAGACCGGGACGGGAGGCAGCAGUGGGGAAUAGUGGACAAUGGGCGAAAGCAUGAUGCAGCAAUGCCGGGUGAGUGAUGAAGGGGUUAGGGUUGUAAAGCUCUUUUGCACGGGAUGAUAAUGACAGUACCGGGAGAAUAAGCACCGGCUAACUACGUG
rnacentral:rRNA from 1 species